rnacentral:rRNA from 1 species
UACAGAGGUCUCAAGCGUUGUUCGGAUUCAUUGGGCGUAAAGGGUGCGUAGGUGGCGCCGUAAGUCGGGUGUGAAAUUUCGGAGCUUAACUCCGAAACUGCAUUCGAUACUGCGGUGCUUGAGGACUGGAGAGGAGACUGGAAUUCAUGGUGUAGCAGUGAAAUGCGCAGAUAUCAGGAGGAACACCGAUGGCGAAGGCAGGUCUCUGGGCCGAUACUGACGCUGAGGAGCGAAAGCGUGGGGAGCGAACAGG